AAGUUGAUGUAUAUGGACUGACGCCUGCCCGGUGCUGGAACGUUAAGAGGACCGGUUAACCCUUCGGGGUGAAGCUGAGAAUUUAAGCGCCAGUAAACGGCGGUGGUAACUAUAACCAUCCUAAGGUAGCGAAAUUCCUUGUCGGGUAAGUUCCGACCUGCACGAAUGGCGUAACGAUGGCCACACUGUCUCCUCCUGAGACUCAGCGAAGUUGAAAUGUUUGUGAUGAUGCAAUCUCCCCGCGGAAAGACGGAAAGACCCCAUGAACCUUUACUGUAGCUUUACAUUGGACUUUGAACGGAUCUGUGUAGGAUAGGUGGAAG
rnacentral:rRNA from 1 species